rnacentral:rRNA from 1 species
GAUGAACGCUAGCUACAGGCUUAACACAUGCAAGUCGAGGGGAAACGACAUCGAAAGCUUGCUCUUGAUGGGCGUCGACCGGCGCACGGGUGAGUAACGCGUCUCCCACCUGCCCACCACUUGGGGUUAACCUUGCGAAAGUAAGACUAAUACCCAAUGAGAUCCCCCGAAGGCAUCCAAAUGGAAUAAAGAUUUAUCGGUGAUGGAUGGGGAUGCGUCUGCUUAGCUUGUUGGCGGGGUGACGGCCCACCAAGGCAACGUUCAGUAGGGGUUCUGAGAGGAAGGUCCCCCACAUUGGAACUGAGACACGGUCCAAACUCCGACGGGAGGCAGCAGUGAGGAAUAUUGGUCAAUGGGCGAGAGCCUGAACCAGCCAAGUAGCGUGCAGGAGGACGGCCCUAGGGGUUGUAAACUGCUUGUAUAAGGGAAUAAAGUGGGUCACGUGUGACUUUUUGCAUGUACCUUAUGAAUAAGGACCGGCUAAUUCCGUG